rnacentral:rRNA from 1 species
GACGAACGCUGGCGGCGUGCUUAACACAUGCAAGUCGAACGAAGAGCGAUGGAAGCUUGCUUCUAUCAAUCUUAGUGGCGAACGGGUGAGUAACGCGUAAUCAACCUGCCCUUCAGAGGGGGACAACAGUUGGAAACGACUGCUAAUACCGCAUACGAUCUGACCUCGGCAUCGAGGAUAGAUGAAAGGUGGCCUCUAUUUAUAAGCUAUCACUGAAGGAGGGGAUUGCGUCUGAUUAGCUAGUUGGAGGGGUAACGGCCCACCAAGGCGAUGAUCAGUAGCCGGUCUGAGAGGAUGAACGGCCACAUUGGGACUGAGACACGGCCCAGACUCCUACGGGAGGCAGCAGUGGGGAAUCGUCCGCAAUGGACGAAAGUCUGACGGAGCAACGCCGCGUGAGGGAGGACGGCCUUCGGGUUGUAAAGCUCGGUUAAUCGGGACGAAAGGCCUUCUUGCGAAUAGUUAGAAGGAUUGACGGUACCGGAAUAGAAAGCCACGGCUAACUACGUG